AAAAACUCCAACCCCUGUGAACCUACCUUUACUGUUGCUUCGGCGGACGAUGGCCCCCGGGCCGGACGCCGCCGGAGGUUACAAACCCUGAAUUUUAGUGUAUCUCUGAGUACGAAACCAAAUAAUUAAAACUUUCAACAACGGAUCUCUUGGUUCUGGCAUCGAUGAAGAACGCAGCGAAAUGCGAUAAGUAAUGUGAAUUGCAGAAUUCAGUGAAUCAUCGAAUCUUUGAACGCACAUUGCGCCCGCCGGUAUUCCGGCGGGCAUGCCUGUCCGAGCGUCAUUUCACCACUCAAGCCCAGCUUGGCGUUGGGGCACCCGGCCGCCCGGAGGUCGGGGCCCCCAAGAACAUCGGCGGUCUCGCUAGGACCCUGAGCGCAGUAACUCGCGGUAAAACGCGCUUCGCUCGGAGGCUUUCCCGGCGGGCUCCAGCCGCUAAACCCCCUAAACUUCUUAGGUUGACCUCGGAUCAGGUAGGAAUACCCGCUGAACUUAAGCAUAUCAAUAAGCGGAGGAAUU
rnacentral:rRNA from 1 species